rnacentral:tRNA from 1 species
GCUGAGGUAGCCUAGCCCGGGAAGGCGCCAGUCUUGAAAACUGGUGGCGAUUCGCCUCGGGAGUUCAAAUCUCCCCCUCAGCG